GACGAACGCUGGCGGCGUGCUUAACACAUGCAAGUCGAACGGAAAGGCCCUGCUUUUGUGGGGUGCUCGAGUGGCGAACGGGUGAGUAACACGUGAGUAACCUGCCCUUGACUUUGGGAUAACUUCAGGAAACUGGGGCUAAUACCGGAUAGGAGCUCCUGCUGCAUGGUGGGGGUUGGAAAGUUUCGGCGGUUGGGGAUGGACUCGCGGCUUAUCAGCUUGUUGGUGGGGUAGUGGCUUACCAAGGCUUUGACGGGUAGCCGGCCUGAGAGGGUGACCGGCCACAUGGGGACUGAGAUACGGCCCAGACUCCUACGGGAGGCAGCAGUGGGGAAUAUGGCACAAUGGGCGGAAGCCUGAUGCAGCAACGCCGCGGGCGGGAUGACGGCCUUCGGGUUGUAAACCGCUUUCGCCUGUGACGAAGCGGGAGUGACGGUAAUGGGUAAAGAAGCACCGGCUAACUACGUG
rnacentral:rRNA from 1 species